UACGUAGGGUGCAAACGUUAUCCGGAAUUAUUGGGCGUAAAGAGCUCGUAGGCGGUCUGUCGCGUCUGCUGUGAAAACUCGGGGCUUAACCCCGGGCCUGCAGUGGGUACGGGCAGACUAGAGGUAGGCAGGGGAGAACGGAAUUCCUGGUGUAGCGGUGAAAUGCGCAGAUAUCAGGAGGAACACCGGUGGCGAAGGCGGUUCUCUGGGCCUUACCUGACGCUGAGGAGCGAAAGCGUGGGGAGCAAACAGG
rnacentral:rRNA from 1 species